UGCUUGCACCUUUCAAGCGAGUGGCGAACGGGUGAGUAACACGUGGAUAACCUGCCUCAAGGCUGGGGAUAACAUUUGGAAACAGAUGCUAAUACCGAAUAAAACUUAGUAUCGCAUGAUACAAAGUUGAAAGGCGCUACGGCGUCACCUAGAGAUGGGUCCGCGGUGCAUUAGUUAGUUGGUGGGGUAAAGGCCUACCAAGACAAUGAUGCAUAGCCGAGUUGAGAGACUGAUCGGCCACAUUGGGACUGAGACACGGCCCAAACUCCUACGGGAGGCUGCAGUAGGGAAUCUUCCACAAUGGGCGAAAGCCUGAUGGAGCAACGCCGCGUGUGUGAUGAAGGCUUUAGGGUCGUAAAGCACUGUUGUAUGGGAAGAAAUGCUAGAAUAGGGAAUGAUUCUAGUUCGACGGUACCAUACCAGAAAGGGACGGCUAAAUACGUGCCAGCAGCCGCGGUAAUACGUAUGUCCCGAGCGUUAUCCGGAUUUAUUGGGCGUAAAGCGAGCGCAGACGGUUGAUUAAGUCUGAUGUGAAAGCCCGGAGCUCAACUCCGGAAUGGCAUUGGAAACUGGUUAACUUGAGUGUUGUAGAGGUAAGUGGAACUCCAUGGGUAG
rnacentral:rRNA from 1 species